rnacentral:rRNA from 1 species
GAUGAACGCUAGCUACAGGCUUAACACAUGCAAGUCGAGGGGAAACGAUAGAGAAAGCUUGCUUUUUCUAGGCGUCGACCGGCGCACGGGUGAGUAACGCGUAUCCAACCUGCCCAUCACUUGGGGAUAACCUUGCGAAAGUAAGACUAAUACCCAAUGAUAUCUCUAGAAGACAUCUGAAAGGGAUUAAAGAUUUAUCGGUGAUGGGUGGGGAUGCGUCUGAUUAGCUUGUUGGCGGGGUAACGGCCCACCAAGGCGACGAUCAGUAGGGGUUCUGAGAGGAAGGUCCCCCACAUUGGAACUGAGACACGGUCCAAACUCCUACGGGAGGCAGCAGUGAGGAAUAUUGGUCAAUGGGCGGGAGCCUGAACCAGCCAAGUAGCGUGCAGGAUGACGGCCCUAUGGGUUGUAAACUGCUUUUAUAAGGGAAUAAAGUGAGUCUCGUGAGACUUUUUGCAUGUACCUUAUGAAUAAGGACCGGCUAAUUCCGUGCCAGCAGCCGCGGUAAUGUA